GAUCCUGGCUUAGGAUGAACGCUGGCGGCGUGCCUAACACAUGCAAGUCGAACGGAGUGUUAGAGCUUGCUUGAACACUAGUGGCGGACGGGUGAGUAAUGUAUGAGCAACCUGCCUUUCAGAGGGGGACAACAGUUGGAAACGACUGCUAAUACCGCAUAACGUACGGAGGGGGCAUCCUCUUUGUACCAAAGGAGCAAUCCGCUGAAAGAUGGGCUCAUAUCUGAUUAGUUAGUUGGCAGGGUAACGGCCUACCAAGACUGCGAUCAGUAGCCGGACUGAGAGGUUGAACGGCCACAUUGGGACUGAGAUACGGCCCAGACUCCUACGGGAGGCAGCAGGUGGGGAAUAUUGGGCAAUGGGACGAAAGCCUACGACCCAGCAACGCCGCGUGAAGGAAGAAGGUCUUCGGAUUGUAAACUUCUUUUAUGAGGGACGAAGGACGUGACGGUACCUCAUGAAUAAGCCACGGCUAACUACGUGCCAGCAGCCGC
rnacentral:rRNA from 1 species